CCUACGGGUGGCAGCAGUGGGGAAUAUUGGACAAUGGGCGAAAGCCUGAUCCAGCCAUGCCGCGUGUGUGAAGAAGGCCUUCGGGUUGUAAAGCACUUUCAGUGGGGAAGAAAGCCUUGGGGCUAAUACCCUCGAGGAAGGACAUCACCCACAGAAGAAGCACCGGCUAACUCCGUGCCAGCAGCCGCGGUAAUACGGAGGGUGCGAGCGUUAAUCGGAAUUACUGGGCGUAAAGCGCGCGUAGGCGGUCUGAUAAGCCGGUUGGGAAAGCCCCGGGCUCAACCUGGGAACGGCAUCCGGAACUGUCAGGCUAGAGUGCAGGAGAGGAAGGUAGAAUUCCCGGUGUAGCGGUGAAAUGCGUAGAGAUCGGGAGGAAUACCAGUGGCGAAGGCGGCCUUCUGGACUGACACUGACGCUGAGGUGCGAAAGCGUGGGUAGCAAACAGGAUUAGAUACCCGUGUAGUC
rnacentral:rRNA from 1 species